GUGGGAAUAGCUCAGCCGGUCGAGAGUGCGGGCUUGCCAUGUCCGCGACGCGGGUUCGACUCCCGCUUCCCACA
rnacentral:tRNA from 1 species